rnacentral:lncRNA from 13 species
CCUUGACAAGCCUAUGUCACUGGGUAUUUAAUUGCGGUCAAGUGAGCCGACACUCACUAAACGCAGUCAAGCCAUCCUUGCUUCAGUUUCCUUCUGAAUUUGGGUGCGUUAAUACACAACACGUUAGGGUAUCACAUGUUUUCUGGUAGGGAAACAGUGGUUAUGGUGUGUAGAUGGUGUGUAGAUAUGAAAUGGUUUGUAGUAGGUUCCCACUUUCACUUCUGUUUCAGGUUCCCACUUUCACUUCUGUUUUGACUGUAUCCCCCAAUAUCCAGUAAGUGCAUGGUUUGAAGGAGGCUUAUUCAGAGAAACUACUUUCAGACAAACUUAAUGUAUCUUUGAAUCCAGGCCAGGAUCAAGGUAAGUGACAAUAUUUUCACCUUUUACUUAUUUUAUUAAAGUAGUAACAUUAACAUCUAUACAAGGUGAUGGGGAUUUCUGGGAUGGUUCUGCAGCAUAUUUAAUAUAUUGGGCCGUUCCAUAUGAAUUCAAUCUCUUUCUGACCGCAUCCCCUUUGAUUUGAACAAAACCUUCCAUAAAUGUUUGACCAUAGUAGAAGUGGUCAGAAAGAUACUAUGAGACAUGUUCAUCCCUGAAAAAGAUAUACAGUUGAGCUUGAUAUCAUUUGAAAGCUUUCAAACAGGAGUUGUAAUGGCGGGACAAGGAUUUCAAGGUGCACUGAGGGUCAUGCUCCUUGUGUGUCUCCUUGGACUAACAAAAGAGUUUGGUAAGAAGUGCUGUUUUCACAAUACAAGUUUAAAAGUGGGUGUCAUUUAGUGUAGUUUUUGUAUUCCAUAUUUUUAAAGAAUGUGAAAAAUAAAAAUAUUAACUUAUUUCCGUAGAACUUGAGGACAAAGACUGGGACGAGUUGAGGUCUGAUGUGGCUGCGCUGCACAGAUUGAAAGGAUUACCUGAUCAAAUGACACGUAGGACCACAGGAGCAGACACCAGGUGGGUUUAAUUCAGCCUUGAUAUCUCUGUCAAACCUCUCUUAGCCAUUGUUGAAUGAGAUGUUUAAUAUUGUUUCUCUCUGUUUAGAGAGAUAACAAUGCACGGGACCAGGACAAAGAGAUUCAGCAAUUACAGGUAACAUAUCCACUCAGAGAAGUGACAAAAUGUAUUAUUGCCCAGUACAGACGAUUGAAAGAGGAAUCACAUAACAGCAAAUNNNNNNNNNNUUUCAGAUUAACAAAUUGUGAUCCCACUGCCUUCACUCUUGAAGAAAAAAAGUGCUAUCUAGAACCUAAAAGGGUUCUUGGCUGUCCCCAUAGGAGAACCCUUUAAAGAGCCCUUUUUGGUUCCAGGUAGAACAUUUUGGGGUUCUAUGUAGAACCCUUUCCACCGAGGGUUCUACCUGGAACCAAAAAGGGUUCUAUGGAGACAGCGGAAGAACCCUUUUAGAAUCAUUUUUUCUAAGAGUGGAUUUGACCUGUAUGUUUCACUGUCAAAUGUUUUGGCAGGAGUUGUAAUGGCGGGNNNNNNNNNNUUUUAGAAAUGUUUGCAAAUUUACUUGAAAAAAGUUUUAUUUAAUAUCACAUUUACAUAAGUAUUCAGACCCUUUACUCAGUACUUUGUUGAAGCACGUUUGGCCACGAUUACAGCCCCGAUUCUUCUUUGGUAUCCUCCCAAGCUCUGUCAGGUUGGAAGGGGAGCUUCGCUGUACAGCUAUGUCAGGUCUCUCCAGAGAUGUUCGAUCGGGUUCAAGUCUGGGCUCUGGCUGGGCAACUCAAGGACAUUCAGAGUCUUGUUCCGAAACCACUCCUGCGUUGUCUUGGCUGUGUGCUUAGUGUCGUUGUCCUGAUGGAAGGUGAACCAUUUCCUUAGACUGAGGUCCUGAGUGC